rnacentral:rRNA from 1 species
GACGAACGCUGGCGGCGUGCUUAACACAUGCAAGUCGAACGGAAAGGCCCUGCUUUUGUGGGGUGCUCGAGUGGCGAACGGGUGAGUAACACGUGAGUAACCUGCCCUUGACUUUGGGAUAACUUCAGGAAACUGGGGCUAAUACCGGAUAGGAGCUCCUGCUGCAUGGUGGGGGUUGGAAAGUUUCGGCGGUUGGGGAUGGACUCGCGGCUUAUCAGCUUGUUGGUGGGGUAGUGGCUUACCAAGGCUUUGACGGGUAGCCGGCCUGAGAGGGUGACCGGCCACAUUGGGACUGACAUACGGCACAGACUCCUACGGGAGGCAGCAGUGGGGAAUAUUGCACGAUGGGCGGAAGCCUGAUGCAGCAACGCCGCGUGUGGGAUGACGGCCUUAGGGUUGUAAACCGCUUUCGCCUGUGACGAAGCGUGAGUGACGGUAAUGGGUAAAGAAGCACCGGCUAACUACGUG